rnacentral:rRNA from 1 species
GACGAACGCUGGCGGCGUGCUUAACACAUGCAAGUCGAACGGAAAGGCCCUGCUUUUGUGGGGUGCUCGAGUGGCGAACGGGUGAGUAACACGUGAGUAACCUGCCCUUGACUUUGGGAUGACUUCAGGAAACUGGGGCUAAUACCGGAUAGGAGCUCCUGCUGCAUGGUGGGGGUUGGAAAGUUUCGGCGGUUGGGGAUGGACUCGCGGCUUAUCAGCUUGUUGGUGGGGUAGUGGCUUACCAAGGCUUUGACGGGUAGCCGGCCUGAGAGGGUGACCGGCCACAUUGGGACUGCGAUACGGCCCAGACUCCUACGGGAGGCAGCAGUGGGGAAUAUUGCACAAUGGGCGGAAGCCUGAUGCAGCAACGCCGCGUGCGGGAUGACGGCCUUCGGGUUGUAAACCGCUUUCGCCUGUGACGAAGCGUGAGUGACGGUAAUGGGUAAAGAAGCACCGGCUAACUACGUG